GCGAUUGCGGCUGGCUCUCUUGCUAGAGCAAGCUCUGAAUGAAUCACCUUUCCUUGUUCUCAUUUGGAUGGUCUCCGUUUAUUUCUUCCACACAAGAAAGAGAGAAGCACAACAGAGGAACCACUGCUGAGAUCUGUAGGAUAAUGCCUUCUUAUACUAACUCCCUCAUGGACUAGAUCCUGACUGGUGAAGAUCCAAGACAGGAGACGUCAACAUUCUUGAGGAAUAGAGGAUGUGUACAGCUUGGCUCUAGAUGUUCAGAAGAAUUUAUUACCAGUAAAGACAUGAAAGAAAGGGUGGGUGAAUGAGAAGAUAGUUCUCUCCUUUAUUUGUUUUUCCCUCAGGAGAUAUGUGAAAGUUGAGGGGGAAAAGGCCCUAGGAUAAUAGAUGGAACUAAUAAUACUGGACUAGCCCAGACAAGGAGGUGAAUUUUUGUUAUGAGGUUGAUCUUUGCAUCCUUUCAGCCGUGUGUUGAUUUUAACAUCCCUUUGGAAAUCCCUCUGGCACAUUGUAAGGACCUAAUGUAUGUUUGCCAAAUCUGAAUCUGAGGCUACCUGGCCAAGGCAAUGUGGGAGAUGACUUGAGGUGGCAUCAGCCACUUUGGGGUUUCAGAACAUGAAAAUCAGGCCAUUUAUCUUUUAGUUCCUCUUCUAUUUUCAUCUCUGAAUAAUUUAUUCAUUCAUUUUAAAAAUAAUAUAUUUAGUAUCCCCUGUAUGCUAGUCUCAUUAGCCACCUAGAGACCAACUGUAAGUUCUUCCAGUGCUGCCUAACAAUUCCAGUUGAUCGUGUUUUCUCUUUUCAAGCAAAACUAAAUUCUGAGCUAAACUAGAUGUCAACCUAAAAUGUGAAUGGCAUUUAUCCUUUGUAUUACAAACAGUGUAAUUGUACACUUUUAGGUAUUUUAAAAUGUACAAUUAAAUCAUUAUUGACUACAUAGUUAUUUUAUGGUCAUAAUAAAAAUU
rnacentral:lncRNA from 10 species